UCCUCGGUAGCUCAAUGGUAGAGCCGUCGGCUGUUAACCGAAAGGUUGCAGGUUCGAGUCCUGCCCGAGGAGCCA
rnacentral:tRNA from 1 species